AAAAAAAUUUCCACUUGACCCAUGUAUUUUGAAGUCACGUUGUGUGUCCCCAUUAAAAGUAAGCUUCUGCAGCUACUAAAACAGCCGAUAUUAUUUCCUUUGUUGUUGCAAUUUGAGGCAUGUAUUGUAUUGUAUUGUAUUGUAUUUGAGAGCCUCACGGCAAGUUGGGCUUUUUGUAACGAUGAGCUGAACCGCUGAGUGCAGUCAUUCCUGUAACAUGAGGUCAUGAUAAAGUAACGUGCUAGAUGCGUGGCGUGGAUGUUUUAUGAUCUUCUCGAUUUGAAGUGCUUUGCCACCACUUUGUGGCAUCCAUAUGCAACUACAAACACCUUUUUUAGGGGAUGCGGGCGACACAUAUUAGCAAUUCUUUUUGCUUUUGGCGAAA